AUCUGAAAUUGGUUACAACAAAGCUAUAUAUAGCUGUAUAUGAUCCUAACUAACUCUAAAAAACUAUUAGCUAGCUAGGAUUAGAAUCAUAUGAUGCUAGUACACAGUAAAGAUCUAUGGAAUGGCAGAGUAAUAUGCUGCGCAAGCUAUCUAAUAUUACAAGUAAUCACACAAUUUAAAAAAGAAGAAAAAGAGAAGGAGAGUGCACAAACAAAUAUUGGCGCCAGAUAAAUUGUGCAUAACCAGGAUAAUUAGGGAACCUUGCUAAAUAUAUUGGUACUCUCUGGUGGUUUGAUUUUAAUAAUUUGGAGAAUCAACUAAGUUCGAUGAUGAGGCCGAGGGAGGCAUGGUGGAAAAGAAGAAUUAUACAAUUGCAUUGUAGAGAUGAAAACGUAGCUUGGCAAAACAUGAAAACAAUGAGCUCUAUCUGAACGUUAAUGCAAAACAAUUUCACGCCGAUAGUGUAUAUUCACUAAUAUUGCCCAUUUUCACAUCAGAUGUGUUCGACUCAGGCACAACCACCCUUCAUUUGUGCAACGUCUGCAAGAAGUAAAUCAAUCACUUUGCUCUAGCUAGAAUCAUUAAAAUAAUAAGCAUUUCAGAGUUUGAGAGAUUAAGAAUUCUAUUGACUUUGUUUUAUGUCGAAUCCUAGUUCUUAUCACGAAUUAUUAUAAACAAACUUCCCAGACACAGGGAUAUUUAUGACAAGUUCACUUACUGAACAGAUAAGAAACAAGAAUUUGAAAUAAAACAAGGAUGAGUUCUUAAAUAUAUUCAGUGGAAGCUAAUUUGUGAAGGUAAUCAAAUAUUAUAUAUCCUCAAGCUGAAGUCCCUUCUAAGGAUCAUUCAUGUGUGCUGAUGAUAAUGAACUCAAAUUUGUUGAGACUUCAUCUGUUGCUUUUUUUCGCACGACUGUUGCACCGGACUAUUCAUUAACUUCUCAAGUCCUUUGUGGUUGUGUGUAUUGCUUAGUGGAUGGUUACAUCAACGGUAUAUACUUCUCUACCCCCUUCCAUUUAGUAGAUAUUGUAAAACCAAGGACAACCUCCUGAGGCUUAGGAGAAGCUAUAUAUAACUCUUUUCAACAUCUGUUAUUAGUUGGAAUUAAGUUCGGCUCAUGUGUUGGAUCACCAUUAUUCACUGCCUUCUUUGGAGAUUGAUUUUUCAGGCCAAAAUACAUUCAGUCCCUUGCCUGUAUGUAUAAACAAAAUACACUCAAUUCCUUUAUAAAAUCUUACCAUACAUCUACAAUAUACUAUUUUUUCUUUGCUAUAAGGAUGGAAUUUUAAAUGUUUGGUGAAAAACUGAUAUGUGAAGGUAAUUAGCAUUAUAAAGUCCUGAAAAUCAACUCCAACCACAAGAAGGUGGAAAGAGUAUUACUUUGUUGAAGCAUCCAAUAAAAAGAAAGCCGACUAAAGUUUUGAUAUGUAUGUUAAAAUAAAUUAGUUUGACGAGGCAGAAAAUUCAUGUUAAAGUAUUCACUAAGAUAUGAACUAUGCCUUACCCUUGAAUUAACCAUAACCAGCACAAAGCUAUCAGUUAGAGGAAAUUGAAAUCUUCAGCAGCAAACUUCAUUCCUAAUAUUGCUUAACAACGUCGCCAAUUCUGGCUAUUGGUGUUUCCCCUGAUCGAACAUGAAAUUCCGACUCUUUCAUAAAUAUAUUAUACAUGAAAGGGCUAUUUCAUAAAUGAAGGACCAUCACCUGCAUAUUUUCAUGGAUACAUGUAUUUAAAUUGAAAUCAAGUAAUAUAUGUUAAAAUUAAUACUAUAGGAAUGAAGAUCUAUACCAUAUCAAUACCAGCAUCAAUGGAAGUGGAAACGCGAUAACGAUAAUCUGACGUAUAAGGUUGACAAUUUUAAUCGAUUUUGUCUCAGACAAAAGACAAAAUCACAAGGUUCACAUAAAUCAAGUCUCUUAAAAAAUGUCUUCGUUCCAAUAAAUAAAUUUUGGGUAACCACGAAUAUUCAAAAACUUAAGUGAAGUGAGGUGUCAAAUACCUUAUGGCAGGGAUCUCAAUUCCUCACAUUCAAGAAUAUCCAUAGUUCGAAGCGAAAUAAGUGUCACCUGUUCAGUUUCAUAGGAGAUGCUCUCUGUAAGUGAUAUGACUAAUGCUAAUAUACUAAAAUAUAAAGAGUUAAAAGAUAAAAAAUUCACUUUGUUAUCAAAUUAAACGGUUGAUUUCUCAUUCAUAUCAUCCAAAAUCAUCACCUCUUAUAGUUUCUGUGGUUUAGCUGAAGCAUCCUCUUGCUUUCAGGAAAAACAGUGGACACAACACAACUUGAUCAAUAACAUUGUUCGACACAAACAUGGCUGCGAUUUAGCAGCAUUCCACAACAUAUCUGACACAAACAUAAUGAAAUAACAUGAGUGACUCGACUAGAAUCAUGAAAUAGCUAAAUACACACCUUCCUAAUGAAGAGCUGUAUACACACCUGGCUAAUAGCUUGAACCAAGAAUUUUGAUUUGUUGCAUUAACAAGCUCAGCGUCAAUUCUAAAGAUAUGGCCCAAUUCUCACAAUAAUUUUACUCGUAGACAUAUUCCAUACAAAAACAGAGAAAGCAAGUGAUUCCUGCAUAUAGAAAUUUAAAUUAGAAAGUAAUUUGGGGAUAAGAAGAUGCAGGGAAGAGAUAAAACUAGCAUACAUCUUCUUCCAGAUAAUUGUCUUGAGAAAUGCUUAGAAAUCAAAUAUGCAUGAAUCAACAGAGUUUAGUGCAUGCAUCAACAGCCAUCAAUAUUCUUUAAAAAUUAGCAAAUAACAUACCAAGACAAUUUUAGUACUAUGAAAUUCUGAACAAAAUUCUGACUCAAAGCCAUAGAAAGAUAAAUUCUCAACUAAAUUUGUCCUAAAGGAUCACCUAAAAUCUGUACCAACAAAUUAUACUUAUUAUGUAUGCAGGUCCACUCGUCAUGAACUAAGUUUGUAAUUAAAA
rnacentral:lncRNA from 1 species